GUAAUUUAUAUCCGAGAGGUCUUACAGGCGCCACAGACACCUAUCAGCCUUUUGUAAGGAGGAGCAGCUCGAGUGCGGUGCGGUCAGUAGCCCUUCAAAUUAGAAAAGUGAGGAUGAUCUUGUCAAUGCUGAGAUUUUCAUGCAUCAGCAGCCACUACAUCUGGAUCAGAUUGAACAAGAAACAGACAGCAAGGGUUGUCAGAUCAGAAACAGAAUGACACACAAACACAAGAAACUUCACAGGCAGAUCAACAUGCAAUUUGAAGACGUGUGAUAAAAUACAGAGAGGUGAAGUAGUGUGUCUUUCCAGAUCCCCAAAUCAUUCCCCCUUAAAAGAUGAGCCUGAAGAGGAGAUUUGGGAAGAUGUUGUUUCAUAAGUUGCUUUGCCAAAUCACCUGUGGUCAGGAUGUCUGCUAACAAGAUGCCUUGCUGGUCUGAGCGAGUUUAAAGUCUUACACAGACAGUCCAGAAGUUCUGAAGUCCAUCUUCGAUUUCAUUGGACGCUUUAAGGUGUAGAAACAUCUCAGCAACCUCAAGAGAAAUUGGAGGCAACUGAGCUAAAUUGCAGAUGUUGUUGCAAAGGGUCUGAAUAUGUAUAAUAUGCUGUCAUCGUAUUAAGUACAGCAUGAGCCAGAAUAGAUGGGUGGUGGUGGCCAUAAGAAGACUGUCAACUAAACCAACAACAAAAUUCAUAUUUGCAGUUUUUCUUGAAUAAAGUUUUUCUAUUCAAAUUAAUAAAAUGACUUUUAAACAUGAUUUUGUUUCAUAUUUUAUGAUUUUAUUCUAUAUUUAGAAAAUUCCACUUCUGCACUACUAACUGGAAACCUAACUGUUUGAAAGAAUGUGUUUUUAUCCAUAAAAAAAUAUUUUUAACAGCUGCUUUCAUGUUUAUUUGGAAAGGGUAGGCACCUGCCAUCUUAUUUGUCCACAUUUAAACUUUACCUUCCUUAAGUGUUUAGUUUUAUGAAUGGGGUUGUACUGUAAGUUAUGCGUAGCAAGUUGCAUUCAUAUGAUAAUUGCACUAAAAAUGACACGUUUACAGUAAAUCAUUUCGUGAGUAUUGCAGUGUAAAGUAAAAAUCUAUAUUUAGUGUUAAAAACAACAAGGAAAUAGAAGGUUGAAAUUGCGUCAUGAUAUCAACCAUAAUUCACCUAUGUUGAAAGUGUGACGUUGAAACAACGUCGUGAUUUCAACGUUGAAAUUUUUUGCAAAACCGAAAGGUAAUCCAACGUUGAUUCAACGUUGGUACCUGACGUUGAUUCAACGU